CUCCUACGGGAGGCAGCAGUGGGGAAUCGUUGCGCAAUGGCCGAAAGGCUGGCGCAGCGACGCCGCGUGGGGGAGGAAGGGCCUUCGGGUUGUAAACCCCUGUUGCCCGGGACGAAUGUGCACUUUUGAGUUGCAUUGACGGUACCGGGUGAGGAAGCACCGGCUAACUCCGUGCCAGCAGCCGCGGUAAUUC
rnacentral:rRNA from 1 species